AGUGUAGGAAAAGAAACCAACAGGGAUUGCCCCAGUAACGGCGAGUGAAGCGGCAACAGCUCAAAUUUGAAAUCUGGCCCCCCGGCCCGAGUUGUAAUUUGGAGAGGAUGCUUUUGGCGCGGCGCCGUCCGAGUUCCUUGGAACAGGACGCCACAGAGGGUGAGAGCCCCGUACGGACGGACGCCUAGCCUCUACAAAGCUCCUUCGACGAGUCGAGUAGUUUGGGAAUGCUGCUCAAAAUGGGAGGUAAAUUUCUUCUAAAGCUAAAUACCGGCCAGAGACCGAUAGCGCACAAGUAGAGUGAUCGAAAGAUGAAAAGCACUUUGAAAAGAGGGUUAAAAAGUACGUGAAAUUGUUGAAAGGGAAGCGCCUGUGACCAGACUUGCGCCCCGUGGACCACCCGGCGUUCUCGCCGGUGCACUCCGCGGGGCGCAGGCCAGCAUCGGUUUUCCUAGGGGGACAAAGGCCGCGGGAACGUAGCUCCUUCGGGAGUGUUAUAGCCCGCGGCGGCAUGCCCCUGGGGGGACCGAGGACCGCGCUUCGGCAAGGAUGCUA
rnacentral:rRNA from 1 species